rnacentral:tRNA from 1 species
GGUGGAUCAGUGGUAGAGCACUUGCCUUGCAUGCAUGAGGUCCUGGGUUCGAUUCCUCAGCACCA